AAUGCAUUUAUGAGAAAGAAAUUGUAAUAGCUCUCAUUCGUUACUGUAAGGAGCGUAUGAUUUCAUAAACCAUUUCGAAAAAUAAAGAUUUAUCGUCUUUGUGCAUUAAUCUGUGUUCUGGUUGUUUCAGUUUUUGCUAAAAAUAAAUUAUCAGUUCGUGUUCAAAGAAUCAUAUGCAAUGUUCACGAUAAAUCUCUUGAGAUGGAAAUGUGCACAGUCAAAUCAAUUAACCGAACUACAACUAUAAUAAAUAUCGCAGGAAACUAUACCAGGCCACUUCAAACAUUUUUGAUAAAUUCACAAUUGUAUAAAAAAUCUGAAAUCAAAUACAGGCCAUUUCUUGUCAAUGUGACCGAUGAUUAUUGUCAAUACUUUGCAAAAAAUAAAGCCAGUCCAUAU